UUGCAUUCUGAGACUAUUACACUAUUUUUUCAGGCCAUCCGGAAGGGUUGUAAGUGAGAGUGAGGUGAGUGCGGCUGAUUUUCUCAUCAACAGUGUUGGACAGAACACUUGUAAGCUCUAUACAGAUGCCAUUCUGAAGAUCCCAGAGAUAACUACAUCCAUGAUCACACAGCUCACUACAGAUAUUGACUAUAUCUGCAACAUCUUGGAGGACCUGGGCGUCACCUCUUGUGAUCCACUAGACAAGCUCAACCUCCUUCUCAAAGCACCAGUGGAACAGUAUUGGAAGAUUGCUCCUGGAAAUAACCCACGUCUCAUUGCUGCAGUUCGACAAAUGCGAAACAUUCCUGUACAGUCAUAAUAAUAUAUCUUUUUUAAUUGUUAAUAUUAUCUUUGAGGGUUGGUGCAUUUUUGGAUGUUUGGAUUAUUUUAUUAAUAGAGCAGAAUAUAUAUAUAUAUGAUUGGUUGUUUGAUUUUCUGUCAUAUGUAUUUGUGAGUAAUGAUAGCAAAAGUUACUAAAUACUGUAAUGUAAAAGAAUUUAAAUUUAAAUUAUUGGCUUGAUAUAAAGCAAAAGGUAUAAUUUGAAUCAGUGAAUAUUCACAAUAAUGUUUACAUAUUUGUGAAUAGAUUUUUACUCAACAUUCACUGAUAGAGUUGCCUUUGAAUUGUUUAUACUGGUAUGAAAUAUAAUUGUUUUAUUAUGAAUAACUGUUAUGCUUUAGCUUCCAUGAAUAUGUGGUGCCUUUGUACAAGAUAGUGAACAUUAGAACAUGUUCAUUUAUUUGUUUAUUUGAAUAAAUGAUUUGAUGUUU